rnacentral:SRP_RNA from 1 species
GCUGGGUGUGGUGGCGCGUGCCUGUAAUCCCAGCUACUCAGGAGGCUGAGGCAAGAGAAUUGCUUGAACCCGGGAGGUGGAGGUUGCAGUGAGCUGAGAUGGUGCCACUGCAUUCCAGCCUGGGCAACAGAGCAAGACUCUGUCUCAA